rnacentral:rRNA from 1 species
AUUGAACGCUGGCGGCAGGCCUAACACAUGCAAGUCGAGCGGAUGAAGGGUGCUUGCUCCUGGAUUCAGCGGCGGACGGGUGAGUAAUGCCUAGGAAUCUGCCUGGCUGUGGUGGAUAACGUCCGGAAACGGGCGCUAAUACCGCAUACGUCCAGAGGGAGAAAGUGUGGGAUCUUCGGACCUUACGCUAUCAGAUGAGCCUAGGUCGGAUUAGCUAGUUGGUGGGGUAAAGGCCUACCAAGGCGACGAUCCGUAACUGGUCUGAGAGGAUGAUCAGUCACACUGGAACUGAGACACGGUCCAGACUCCUACGGGAGGCAGCAGUGGGGAAUAUUGGACAAUGGGCGAAAGCCUGAUCCAGCCAUGCCGCGUGUGUGAAGAAGGUCUUCGGAUUGUAAAGCACUUUAAGUUGGGAGGAAGGGCAGUAAGUUAAUACCUUGCUGUUUUGACGUUACCAACAGAAUAAGCACCGGCUAACUUCGUG